rnacentral:rRNA from 1 species
CCUACGGGUGGCUGCAGUGAGGAAUAUUGGUCAAUGGGCGCGAGCCUGAACCAGCCAAGUCGCGUGAGGGAAGACGGUCCUAUGGAUUGUAAACCUCUUUUGUCGGGGAGCAAAAGACGCCACGCGUGGCGUUCCGAGAGUACCCGAAGAAAAAGCAUCGGCUAACUCCGUGCCAGCAGCCGCGGUAAUACGGAGGAUGCGAGCGUUAUCCGGAUUUAUUGGGUUUAAAGGGUGCGCAGGCGGAAGAUCAAGUCAGCGGUAAAAUUGAGAGGCUCAACCUCUUCGAGCCGUUGAAACUGGUUUUCUUGAGUGAGCGAGAAGUAUGCGGAAUGCGCGGUGUAGCGGUGAAAUGCAUAGAUAUCGCGCAGAACUCCGAUUGCGAAGGCAGCAUGCCGGCUCCACACUGACGCUGAGGCACGAAAGCGUGGGUAUCGAACAGGAUUAGAUACCCUAGUAGUC